rnacentral:rRNA from 1 species
GUGAGGAAUAUUGGUCAAUGGGCGAGAGCCUGAUCCAGCCAUGCCGCGUGCAGGAAGACGCAUCUAUGGUGUGUAAACUGCUUUUGUACGGGAAGAAACACUCCCUCGUGAGGGAGCUUGACGGUACCGUAAGAAUAAGGAUCGGCUAACUCCGUGCCAGCAGCCGCGCUAAUACGGAGGAUCCAAGCGUUAUCCGGAAUCAUUGGGUUUAAAGGGUCCGUAGGCGGUUUAAUAAGUCAGUGGUGAAAGCCCAUCGCUCAACGAUGGAACGGCCAUUGAGACUGUUAGACUUGAAUUACAAGGAAGUAACUAGAAUAUGUAGUGUAGCGGUGAAAUGCUUAGAUAUUACAUGGAAUACCAAUUGCGAAGGCAGGUUACUACUUGUGGAUUGACGCUGAUGGACGAAAGCGUGGGGAGCGAACAGGAUUAGAAACCCUGGUAGUCC